CAUUUAAAUAUGAUCAAUUAAUGCUAUUAUUCAGACUAUUUUUUCCAUAAUCAUGUAAAAAUUGAACUUCUUAUAUAUUUUCUUCCUAUCCUUGUGUAAUGGUUGUGAAAACAUGUUUUAUCCAUUGUGUAUGCUUGUUGACAUUGCUUCAUGGAUGCAUCACAUCAUAGUGAACAAAUCAUCGAUUGUAUGUUUCUGUUUUUAGAUGGGCAUUUUAGUUAGAAAAUUAUGUAGAAUUACAAUUCUAUACACAUGAAUAUAAUUGUGCCAUGUGAUAUAAAUCUCUCUCUUUUAUAAAGAUUUAUAUAAAGAAAAAUGGGGGUUCAUUGGCAUUUUUAGCUCACCUGUCCCGAAGGGACAAGUGAGCUUAUGCCAUCACUUGGCGUCCGUCGUCGUCCGUCGUCUGUCGUCGUAAACUAUUUCAAGAAUCUUCUCCUGUGAAACUACUGGGCCAAAUACUUUCAAACUUUAACUGAAUGUUCCUUAGGGUAUCUAAUUUAUAAAUUGUAUCCGAAGUUUUGAUCUAUCAACAAACAUGGUCGCCAUUGCUAAAAAUAGAACAUAGGGGUCAAAUACAGUUUUUGGCUUAUAACUCAAAAACCAAAGCAUUUAGAGCAAAUCUGACAUGGGUAAUAUUGUUUAUCAGGUCAAGAUCUAUCUGCCCUGAAAUUUUCAGAUGAAUCAGACAACCCGUUGUUGGGUUGCUGCCCCUGAAUUGGUAAUUUUAAGGAAAUUUUGCUGUUUUUGGUUAUUAUCUUGAAUAUUAUUAUAGAUAGAGAUAAACUGUAAACAGGAAUAAUGUUCAACAAAGUAAGAUUUACAAAUAAGUCAAUAUGACGGAAUUGGUCAGUUGACCCCUUUAGGAGUUAUUGCCCUUUAUAGUCAAUUUUUAACCAUUUUUCGUAAAUCUUAGUAAUCUUUUACAAAAAUCUUCUCCUCUGAAACUACUGGGCCAAAUACUUCCAAACUUUAAUUGAAUGUUCCUUAGGGUAUCUAGUUUUGUAAAUUGUAUCCGAAGUUAUGAUCUAUCAACAAACAUGGUCGCCAUUGCUAAAAAUAGAACAUAGGGGUCAAAUGCAGUUUUUGGCUUAUAACUCAAAAACCAAAGCAUUUAGAGCAAAUCUGACAUGGGAUAAUAUUGUUUAUCAGGUCAAGAUCUAUCUGCCCUGAAAUUUUCAGAUGAAUCAGACAACAUGUUGUUGGGUUACUGCCCCUGAAUUGGUAAUUUUAAAGAAAUUUUACUGUUUUUGGUUAUUAUCUUGAAUAUUAUUAUAGAUAGAGAUAAACUGUAAACAGCAAUAAUGUUCAGCAAAGUAAGAUUUACAAAUAAGUCAACAUGACGGAAAUGGUCAGUUGACCCCUUUAGGUGUUAUUGCCCUUUAUAGUCAAUUUUUAACCAUUUUUCGUAAAUCUUAGUAAUCUUUUACAAAAAUCUUCUCCUCUGAAACAACUGGGCCAAAUACUUCCAAACUUUAACUGAAUGUUCCUUAGGGUAUCUAGUUUGUAAAUUGUAUCCGAAGUUAUGAUCUAUCAACAAACAUGGUCGCCAUUGCUAAAAAUAGAACAUAGGGGUCAAAUGCAGUUUUUGGCUUAUAACUAAAAAACCAAAGCAUUUAGAGCAAAUCUGACAUGGGUAAUAUUGUUUAUCAGGUCAAGAUCUAUCUGCCCUGAAAUUUUCAGAUGAAUCAGACAACCUGUUGUUGGGUUGCUGCCCCUGAAUUGGUAAUUUUAAGGAAAUUUUGCUGUUUUUGUUUAUUAUCUUGAAUAUAAUUAUAGAUAGAAAUAAACUGUAAACAGCAAUAAUGUUCAG
rnacentral:lncRNA from 1 species